rnacentral:rRNA from 1 species
UAAAACGUAGGUACCGAGCGUUAUCCGGAUUCACUGGGCGUAAAGCGCGUGCAGGUGGUUUGGUAAGUCGGGCAUGAAAACUCUUGGCUCAACUGAGAGACGCUGUCCGAUACUGUCGAACUUGAGGGUGUAAGAGGGAGGUGGAAUUCCGCAUGUAGUGGUGAAAUGCGUAGAUAUGCGGAGGAACACCAGUGGCGAAAGCGGCCUCCUGGUACACUCCUGACACUCAGACGCGAAAGCUAGGGGAGCGAACGGGAUUAGAAACCCCGGUAGUCCUAGCCGUAAACGAUGAUUACUAGGUGUUAGUGGUAUCAAGCCCACUAGUGCCGAAGCUAACGCGAUAAGUAAUCCGCCUGGGGACUACGAUCGCAAGAUUA